rnacentral:rRNA from 1 species
CAGGUACAGCGGGAAGGCCAUGCGGCGACGCAGAGCGGAACCCGAAAACCUGUCUCAGUUCGGAUUGGAGUCUGCAACCCGACUCCAUGAAGCUGGAUUCGCUAGUAAUCGCGCAUCAGCCACGGCGCGGUGAAUACGUUCCCGGGCCUUGUACACACCGCCCGUCAAGCCAUGGAAGCCGGGAGUGCCUGAAGUGCGUGAGCGCAAGCAGCGCCCUAAGGUAAAACCGGUGACUGGGGCUAAGUCGUAACAAGGUACC